rnacentral:rRNA from 1 species
AUAUUAACUAAGUUAAUUAAAGUUCUAAGUGGAUAUAUGAUUAUGACAAUAUUUACUUAUGUCUUGACCAAGUCACGUGCCAGCAGUCGCGGUAAUACGUGGAAGAUUAGUGUUAUUCAUUUUUAACAGGUUUAAAGGGUACCUAGACGGUUAAUUAAGCACUAAAAUGUACUAAUUAACUAGAGUUUAAUGUAAGAAAGAUUGAGUACGGUGAGUGUAGAGAUAAAAUUCUAUGAUACCACUUAGAAACUGGUAAAGGSGAAGGCAACUUUUUAUGCAAAAACUGACGUUAAGGGACGAAGGCUUGUAUCAAAGAACAGGAUUAGAUACCCUAGUAUUGUGGGCAGAAAAUGAUGAGUGUCAUAAGCAAGAAAUAAAUAUUUUUUUUGUAUAAAUGAAAGUGUAAGCACUCCACCUCAAGAGUAACGUGGCAACAUGGGAACUGAAAUCAUUAGACCGUUUCUGAAACUCGUAGUGAAGUAUGUUGUUUAAUUUGACACCACACAAAUAACCUUACCACAACUUGUAUAACUAUACUAUAUAAUAAUGUAGUUACAAGCGUUGCACGGCUGUCUUCAGUCAAUGUUGUGAAACUGUGGUUAGAUCCAUUAAAUUGACGUAAACCCUUACUUUAUUUAAAAUAAAGUAGUUCGCCGCUAUA